GUUUAUUUGUCAGGCAUUCAGAUUCAUAUACAUGUAUAUAUUCACGAAUAAAUAAACAUUCCAUAAAAUUCUGGUAAUACAGUGGUAUUGAAAUCAUUAAAGGAAUAAUAAAACUAUUUAUCAUAUACUUAGCAUUAAUAUGAUAGCUUUUGCAUAUGUGUAAUGGGCGGAAGUGCACAAGCCAUAUCUUCCCACCCGGGCUGAUAACCCAUAUCAAGUGCCUCUCGUGCAAAAAACCCAUAUCAGUGCCUCUCGUGCAAGUUACUUCCGGUGUUUCCUGUAUCGGUUGUUUACUUUUCCAUUGUGACGUCAGAUGUUUUUUAUGACGACGUCAAAAUUUACGGGAACUUUUGCUAACAAAUGCCAUUGACAAUUAUGAAUCAUUUUAUAGUACAUCAAACAUGGAGUAGUAAUGAUCGUAAAACUCUUCCAAAUUUUCAAUGUUUCAAAAUGCCUCUAUAGGAAAUGUUACCAUAAAUAUAUAAGGAGUUAAUGAUGCUGUUGUUGGACAACUAUAGUAUAUUUGAUUCAUAAUUUUAAUUUUCUUUAUAAAAUGUUUGACUGUUUUAGUUAUUGCAUUAGUUUAUUUGCCUUACAUAAAACUAUCGUCGGAAGUAUAUGAUAAAGCGAUUAAUACAUGGCCUUUUCCAUAUCAGCCUGGGUAUCAUCCCUCGACCCAUAUCAGCACCUCGACUAAGUCUCGGGCUGAUAUGGGGGUCUCGGGAUGAUACCCAGGCUGAUAUGGAAAAGGCCAUGUAUUAAUCUCUAUUGAUGUCCCAUUUGAAAUCUAUAAAUACAUUUAUGUAUUACAACAACGCUGAAGUAAAAUUUAUAUUCAAUAUAAAUACCUGACAAAGUUAUUGCAUUCGACACAAAUAAUAUGUGUCUUCCCUUUCAUCCUGUGUGAGUUACAAAAAGAUAUUAAAGAAAAUUUUCCAAUAGACUUUAAAAUGCACAACUACAAUUGCUAUUUAUGAUGCCAAUCUGUCAAAUUUUAUUUGAUUCCAUGAAAAUGAAGACAUUAUAUCCCACACAAUUGUUUGGAGCAUAAUUUUUGACAAGUCUGUCUGUCCAUUUGUCAGUCCCUCCAUCAGUCAGUUGUGUUUUUGUCAUAACAACUCUUCUGAAACCAUAUACCCGAAUUUCAUGAAACUUUAUUGAUAAUAAGGACAUAUUACGUAGAUGUGCAUUUGGACAAUCAAUUAUGAUAAAAAAAAAUCUAGCAAUUAUGCCCCUUUGCACUUAUGUAGGGAUGUGUGAUAUUUAAGCAUGCUCACAAAGGUUCUUUGAUUAGGAUAAACUAUCCUUUACAUAUAACAUAUAGUUAUAUCCAUCUUCCAUUAUUGAUAAAUAAAAAAUAAAUUAUCUAAUCAAACAUAAGUCAAGUGUGGCACAACCUACUCAUUGUGAAGGAUUUCUGACAAACUUGCCCAAUUCUCAAACUAAAUUAUAGAAGGGGGCAUCUUUAUAUAUAGCUAUAUAUCCCAAUCAUUUUUUUUAUAGAAAGAUGGACAACAAUAAAAACCACAAUAUAAUCUCCAUUUUAAAAUUGGAGACAAAGGCCAUGAAAGCUGUAUACAUUACAUAAUAUGAUAUGAAAAAAUAAAUUUCACAAAUAAUCAGAAAAAUACAUUGCAGUGAUACCUAUAGCUUUAGUAAUUGCAC
rnacentral:lncRNA from 1 species